UACAGAGGUCCCAAGCGUUGUUCGGAUUUACUGGGCGUAAAGGGCGCGUAGGCGGUUGUAUCAGUCGGGCUUAUAAGUGCGGGGCUCAACCCCGUGAUGGGUUCGGGACGGUAUGACUGGGGCGCGGUCGAGGGAGACGGAAUGCCGGGUGUAGUGGUGAAAUGCGUAGAGAUCCGGCGGAACACCGGUGGUGAAGGCGGUCUCCUAGGCCGAGGGCCGACGCUGAGGCGCGAGAGCGUGGGGAGCGAACCGG
rnacentral:rRNA from 1 species